AUAAAUCUCCCCCUUUGUUUUUAUUGUCCAAGUGCAUAACCUUACAUUUAUCCACAUUAGCCUCCGAGCGACACAUACCAGCGCCGAUGCCGACACCCGGCACCCCGUCUUCGCCACCGGACCUCCAGGCUUGACUGUCUCUGCUAUGCGCACCAGCAGCCUGAUGAGAUGACCAGCUGGAGUGAUCAAACAUCUAAUUCUCAGCCAAGAGGAUUCAUGGGAAAUGUAGGCUGCAUUACAGAACCCACAUCAUUGUGCACUUGCAAACCAAAAAGGAGCCUAUCCCAUGCCUGCCACAACAACAAUAAAAGCAGUUGGAUAAGUGAUCUCAGGUCAAGAUCAUGUCUGCACCGGAGCGGAAUCUGGAGGAAUGCUUCUUCUGAAUGGGAAAUUAAUAAAUUCACAUUUAUUUUUCGUGGUUGCCAGAUAUGUCUUUGUUCCUGGAACAGUCUCUCCAGAAAGACAGAAAAAGGGGAGAGGAAAGGAAAGUAAGGGCAGGUGGUGUUCGUGAGUAUGCCGGGUCCGCACGGUCCUCCUCCAGGUCGGUGACAGCAUCAGUAGAGCAGCAGACAGAAGGUCCACAGGGAGAAUGCUGAGGGGAUCACAUGUCUGCUUCAGCCAAUCAAGGCUGCUGCCCUGUUCCCCUAAGUCUUCCUAGACUGGGAGGAGCUAGUUAGUCUGGAGGACAAGCCUAAGGAAAUCCAGUUGCUGUUCCAGUAUGCAGUGGGAAGAAGAGCCAAGAGAGCCCACAGACCUAAUUUGCAAAAAAGAGGAGAUGGAAAGUCUCGGGCAACUCCGGUCCAUAAAUCUACUGUGUAAAUCUGGUGCAUUAACAACCUGUGAAGGAAGGUGGCAAAAAUGGCUGUUUUUCACAGUUGUAAAGAAGUUAUGAAAGACAAUUCUCCCCUGUUUUCCAACCAGGGAGCCUCCAGCUGGUGCAAAACUACAACUCCCAGCAUGCCAUGACAACGAAAGGAAAACAAAAGAAGGAACAGUCUGGAUACUGCUUUUCUGUGUGGGAGAGGAGGAAGGAGCAGAAGGCCGCGGCUUGUAUGGGAGCAUGUUAACUAAUGCAAGCUUAUAAUUUGGCUGUCAUGUUUAUGGAUGACUCUGCUACCUGAAAGCUGCAGGUAUGAAAAUCCUCCUUCCAGUUCGGCACCAUCGGGUUACAGUAAACAGAAUGGGCUUCAAAAGUGACAACCGCCUUCAGGCAUCAGAUGGAGAUCAAUCACUGCUGGAGGGCACUCCGCUUUUCAAGUUACAAAGAGAAACACGAAUUGUUAUUGCAGUUUCAGGUUCAGGCUGAAGGAUUAGCAUGUAUGCCUAGAGGAGAAUAUUCCAGCUGGCUGGUGUAACAGUAUGCAGGGCACACGCCAUACCUCUCCAGAGAGCCGUGGUGCAAUACGUUAUAAAAAUGCAAAAUAGCGUGAUUUACACCGCGCGCAAUAAAAUACAAAGUCAUCUCCUAUCUCCGCCGUGAUUAGAAAGAAUUGA